rnacentral:rRNA from 1 species
CGAACGCUGGCGGCGUGCUUAACACAUGCAAGUCGAACGCGAAAGGGACUUCGGUCCUGAGUAAAGUGGCGCACGGGUGAGUAACGCGUAGAUAACCUGUCUUUAUGUCUGGAAUAAUACGCCAAAGGGGGUACUAAUACCGGAUAUUUUUGCAUUGCAUAAGCAGUGUAAGCAAAGGUGGCCUCUGACAUAAGCUACUGCAUAAAGAGGGGUCUGCGUACCAUUAGCUAGUAGGUGGGGUAAAGGCCUACCUAGGCUACGAUGGUUAGCGGGUCUGAGAGGAUGAUCCGCCACACUGGCACUGGAACACGGGCCAGACUCCUACGGGAGGCAGCAGUGAGGAAUAUUGCGCAAUGGGGGCAACCCUGACGCAGCGACGCCGCGUGAGUGAGGAAGGCCUUCGGGUCGUAAAGCUCUGUCAAAGGGAAAGAAGUGCAUGGUGGUUAAUACCUGCCAUGUUUGACGGUACCCUUAAAGGAAGCACCGGCUAACUCCGUGCCAGCAGCCGC